GAUGAACGCUGGCGGCGUGACUAAUACAUGCAAGUCGAGCGAACGGACGAGAAGCUUGCUUCUCUGAUGUUAGCGGCGGACGGGUGAGUAACACGUGGAUAACCUACCUAUAAGACUGGGAUAACUUCGGGAAACCGGAGCUAAUACCGGAUAAUAUUUUGAACCGCAUGGUUCAAAAGUGAAAGACGGUCUUGCUGUCACUUAUAGAUGGAUCCGCGCUGCAUUAGCUAGUUGGUAAGGUAACGGCUUACCAAGGCAACGAUGCAUAGCCGACCUGAGAGGGUGAUCGGCCACACUGGAACUGAGACACGGUCCAGACUCCUACGGGAGGCAGCAGUAGGGAAUCUUCCGCAAUGGGCGAAAGCCUGACGGAGCAACGCCGCGUGAGUGAUGAAGGUCUUCGGAUCGUAAAACUCUGUUAUUAGGGAAGAACAUAUGUGUAAGUAACUGUGCACGUCUUGACGGUACCUAAUCAGAAAGCCACGGCUAACUACGUG
rnacentral:rRNA from 1 species